UGGACAGAUUAUUGUAUUCGACUGUAUUCACGACGUGAAAUAGGGGAUUACACUGUUUUUAAAACAGAAAGUGAAUCAAUUAACAUAAUAGACUCCU
rnacentral:pre_miRNA from 1 species